UACCAGCAUCAUCAUCAUCCCCACUACAAAAACUACCAAAAAUAUACCGAUAAGCCACCGUCGAGAUGAAUACCCUCAUCAAAAUCUUUGCCCUUCUCGCCCUCUGCAUGGCGAUUGCCACCGUGUACGCUGCAAACGAGGCGCAGGACGCUGCUGCUGUUGAGAAAGAAGCCAAGUGGCUCUUCCCCGGAUUUUGGAUCCCACUCCCAAGCUUGAACCCACCAGCAGGAAAUGGGUCCGGUUAAUACAAAUAUGCAUCAGGGGCAUAGUUUGGUACAAUUUGCACAUCAAAAUUAUGGUAGAGGGACAGACAAUUUGAAAUAAAUCGUACAAAAAGUAUAGUAGCAGCAUUUA